rnacentral:pre_miRNA from 1 species
UAUAAGGGAUUUUGAGUUUUUGCUUGCACUGUUUGACCACUCGUCUUAUUCAAAAAAUUUUGGAAUUAUUUUUUUUUGUGACUUACUUUAUUAUCCAAAGUACUUUAAGCACAACUUUUCAUUUUUUAUAUUUGCACAAAUUUUUUGAAUAAGACGAGUGGUCAAAUAAUGCAAACAAAAACUCAAAAUCCCUUAUA